AUUGAACGCUGGCGGCAGGCUUAACACAUGCAAGUCGAGCGAACGGCGGACGGGUGAAUAAUGUCUGGGAAACUGCCUGAUGGAGGGGUAUAAGUACUGGAAACGGUAGCUAAUACCGCAUACCAUCAGAUCUGCCGAAAGGGGAUUAGCUAGUAGGUGGGGUAAUGGCUCACCAAGGCGACGAUCCCUAGCUGGUCUGAGAGGAUGACCAGCCAAACUGGAACUGAGACAAGGCCCAGACUCCUACGGGAGGCAGCAGUAGGGAAUCUUGCACAAUGGGCGAAAGCCUGAUCGAGCAACGCCGCGUGAGUGAAGAAGGUCUUCGGGUUGUAAAGCACUUUUAGCGAGGAGGCGGUACUCAAACAAGAAGCACCGGCUAACUCCGUGCCAGCAGCCGCGGUAAUUC
rnacentral:rRNA from 1 species